rnacentral:rRNA from 1 species
UCUACGGGAGGCAGCAGUGGGGAAUCUUGGACAAUGGGCGCAAGCCUGAUCCAGCCAUGCCGCGUGAGUGACGAAGGCCUUAGGGUUGUAAAGCUCUUUUGCCGGGGACGAUAAUGACGGUACCCGGAGAAUAAGUCCCGGCUAACUUCGUGCCAGCAGCCGCGGUAAUA